rnacentral:ncRNA from 1 species
CGUGUUUUGCUAUGUUUGCAAGGACCCGACGAGACGCGCCGUACCGGGACCCGCAAAGACGACGCACC